rnacentral:rRNA from 1 species
GAAGGUGUGCUGUGAGGCAUGCUGGAGGUAUCAGAAGUGCGAAUGCUGACAUAAGUAACGAUAAAGCGGGUGAAAAGCCCGCUCGCCGGAAGACCAAGGGUUCCUGUCCAACGUUAAUCGGGGCAGGGUGAGUCGACCCCUAAGGCGAGGCCGAAAGGCGUAGUCGAUGGGAAACAGGUUAAUAUUCCUGUACUUGGUGUUACUGCGAAGGGGGGACGGAGAAGGCUAUGUCAGCCGGGCGACGGUUGUCCCGGUUUAAGCAUGUAGGCGGAGGUUCCAGGUAAAUCCGGUACCUUGUUAACGCUGAGGUGUGAUGACGAGGCACUACGGUGCUGAAGUGAUAAAUGCCCUGCUUCCAGGAAAAGCCUCUAAGCAUCAGGUAACACGAAAUCGUACCCCAAACCGACACAGGUGGUCAGGUAGAGAAUACCAAGGCGCUUGAGAGAACUCGGGUGAAGGAACUAGGCAAAAUGGUGCCGUAACUUCGGGAGAAGGCACGCUGAUAGGUAGGUGAAGUCCCUGCGGACGGAGCUGAAAUCAGUCGAAGAUACCAGCUGGCUGCAACUGUUUAUUAAAAACACAGCACUGUGCAAACACGAAAGUGGACGUAUACGGUGUGACGCCUGCCCGGUGCCGGAAGGUUAAUUGAUGGGGUUAGCGGCAACGCGAAGCUCUUGAUCGAAGCCCCGGUAAACGGCGGCCGUAACUAUAACGGUCCUAAGGUAGCGAAAUUCCUUGUCGGGUAAGUUCCGACCUGCACGAAUGGCGUAAUGAUGGCCAGGCUGUCUCCACCCGAGACUCAGUGAAAUUGAACUCGCUGUGAAGAUGCAGUGUACCCGCGGCAAGACGGAAAGACCCCGUGAACCUUUACUAUAGCUUGACACUGAACACUGGUCCUUGAUGUGUAGGAUAGGUGGGAGGCUUUGAAGCGUGGACGCCAGUCUGCGUGGAGCCAACCUUGAAAUACCACCCUUUAAUGGCUGGUGUUCUAACGUAGACCCGUAAUCCGGGUUGCGGACAGUGUCUGGUGGGUAGUUUGACUGGGGCGGUCUCCUCCCAAAGAGUAACGGAGGAGCACGAAGGUUGGCUAAUCCUGGUCGGACAUCAGGAGGUUAGUGCAAUGGCAUAAGCCAGCUUGACUGCGAGCGUGACGGCGCGAGCAGGUGCGAAAGCAGGUCAUAGUGAUCCGGUGGUUCUGAAUGGAAGGGCCAUCGCUCAACGGAUAAAAGGUACUCCGGGGAUAACAGGCUGAUACCGCCCAAGAGUUCAUAUCGACGGCGGUGUUUGGCACCUCGAUGUCGGCUCAUCACAUCCUGGGGCUGAAGUAGGUCCCAAGGGUAUGGCUGUUCGCCAUUUAAAGUGGUACGCGAGCUGGGUUUAGAACGUCGUGAGACAGUUCGGUCCCUAUCUGCCGUGGGCGCUGGAGAAUUGAGGGGGGCUGCUCCUAGUACGAGAGGACCGGAGUGGACGCAUCACUGGUGUUCGGGUUGUCAUGCCAAUGGCACU